rnacentral:rRNA from 1 species
UACGUAGGGUGCGAGCGUUAAUCGGAAUUACUGGGCGUAAAGCGUGCGCAGGCGGUUCGUUAAGUCAGAUGUGAAAGCCCCGGGCUCAACCUGGGAACUGCAUUUGAAACUGGCGGGCUUGAGUGUGGCAGAGGGGGGUGGAAUUCCGCGUGUAGCAGUGAAAUGCGUAGAGAUGCGGAGGAACACCGAUGGCGAAGGCAGCCCUCUGGGCCAACACUGACGCUCAGGCACGAAAGCGUGGGGAGCAAACAGG